CAGAUGAUAAGAGCAGAUCAUUUGUAACUUUAAGGAGAGCAGUCUCGGUGGACUGGAAAUCCUCACAUAUACCAUUUUUCUUUAAGAAGGAACAUAAUUAGAAUAUAAAGAGGCACUUAAAAAUAUCUGAAUCUCAAAAUACCAAAGUAAGAAGCAUUUACUAUCAAGAAAACACAAACAUUGUGCUUUACUCAUUAGAAACUUCCUCAAUUUGAACUGUAUCUGAAAUUGACACACACAUAAAGAAAUAUACAGCAUACAGUAUGUUCUCAUAACACUGAGAGAAAACAUCCUUAUUCUCAAAACAUCCUUAUGAUGUUAUUGUUUUAAGAAAUGUUUUUGUAACCUUUAAAUAACGUUCUAAUCACCACAAGAAAACAAGAAAUUUCAAAUGUUGAGAAUAUUAAAAAUAAACGAUAAAAUAACAUCAUAUUUUGGGUGAAAAUAAAGUUAGUAAAAUGCUGAAGAAGCAUACUUGUAACUUUAAAUAUGGUUCUAAUAAAAAUAAAAUCUGAUCUGUUUAUGAAUUUUUCGAAAGGGUUUUGGAUGAAUAGAGCCAAGAAGAGACUUGAUUUGAUGAAAAAUAUGUUAAUUUGUGUUUAUUUGUAGUGCUUUGAUACAUAUUGUGUCAAAGAAAUAUAUUUAUAUGGCAGAAAUUUACAUUUCUAAGAUAACCAUGCAGUUAGUUAACGUUAAUCUGAUUGUUAAUCUGAAACACGUUAAAUCAAUAUUUACAUGUUGUGAUAAUAAUAAUAAUAUAAGGAAACUUUUUUUUUUCAGUUUUGUCUGUUGUUUUCGAGUUGGCAUCAUUUUAAGUCCUCACAAGGGUUGGUCUUAUCUGAAAUGAGAUCGUUCUCUGAUAAAUCUAAAAAUAAACAUCUUAGAAUGGUCUUAAGUGCAAUUCAUCUUGAUUUACCAAGCCUAAUAUCUCAUAUUUCUCGUUUUAGGCGUUUCAUUGGAUUGAACCCUAAGAGAGGAACAAAGGACAUUCAGAGCAGCGGAGACUUCACACACCGUCCACCCACAGUGAUGUCAAAAACAACUUCUGGCUCGCAGGCCGAGAUAUUCACUGCUUUAUUUCCAACGUAUCAAUCCACACUGCCCUGAAUCAACAGCGGCGAGAAUCAGAGCCUGAUGCAAACCCACAGAUCAGACGUGAGACUGAGGGACGUUUUCAUUUUAAAAAACUCAUGCAAUAUUUUUUUUACAAUUCUUUCUUCAUUUUUUUUUCCUAUUGAAAUAUGCAGCUAAUUAGAUGCACAGUCAAAAAAGUCAUUUUGCAGGGCCAGAAAUUAUGUUUCUGCAUUUGACAAAAAUCUACCGUAAAAAAAAAAAAAAAAAAAAAAAA